GUGACUGUAGCUCAGGGGCAGAGCACGUGCUUAGCAGGCACGAGGUCCUGGGUUCAGUCCCCAGUACUUCCG
rnacentral:tRNA from 1 species